rnacentral:lncRNA from 1 species
GCAGCCUGACGUGUUGCUGGGAAUUGAACUUGGGUCUUCUGGGAAAGCAGCCAGUGCCCCUAAUCAAUGAGUCAUCACCUCUCUAGCCCUCACCAUUUUACAUUUUUUUUUUUGGUGUCACAUUUCUAGCUGGAAGAUUAGGGGUUAACUUCAAAACAAAACAGAAACAAAAUGAACAACAACAACAACAGCAGCAGCAGCAGCAGCAGCAGCAGCAGCAACAACAGCAACAAACCCUCCAGAAUUUUCAAUGUUCCAUUUGACCUGGAGGAAUAGAGAGAAUCCUGACAUUGAGGUCAUGAAACUGUGCUUUGGAAUUUCUGCCCAGGUGGCACUCCGAUUGGAUAGAAGUUUGAGCCAAAAGUUGGAUGCAUAAUUCAACUAUUUAUAAACAUAUUUGUAGGAGACAAAUGGCGGCAGGGAGAUUCCAUCCAAUGCUACUACAAAGAAAGAGGGCCUGAAUUUUUAAGGUCUGGUUUCCUCUCAAGAAGGUGGAGCAGACACUGACCCAUCUUUACCAUUUAGCUUGAAGAGGACUGAGAGCCUAUGACAAUUCUUCCCAGACUCCCUCAUCCUGAAAAAUGAACACAUUUGAAGAAUAUUACAG